rnacentral:tRNA from 1 species
GUCUCCGUAGCUCAGCAGGAUAGAGCGUCAGUUUCCUAAACUGUAGGUCGGAGGUUCGAAUCCUCUCGGGGACG